GGAUGGCUCAACAGUAAAGCGUCAGGCUAACAAACUGACGCUUGCCGGUUCUACUCCGGUAGAGAUCCA
rfam:Ancylostoma ceylanicum strain HY135 Acey_s0121_scaf, whole genome shotgun sequence.